ensembl:lncRNA
CAACUGGAAAUGCAAUCACACGGAGACAGACGCACACGCCCAGUGCGAGGAACGCUCUCGGGUCUCUGCACUGGAUGUGAAGCAUGUUUCGCAACAUGCUUUUAAGAAGGAAAACAACUUUCCCCUCUAAGAACCUUUGGACCCAUUAACCACUCACGCUCUCUGCUAUUAAUAGGUCAGCUAUGAUUUCUCAGAGUUGGACCUUAUCGCUCGGCUACCUACCAGACCUUCAUCACAACAUAAGGCCACGACCAUCCGAUAAAAUAACCUGAGCUUCUACGCACGUAGACCUGUAGCCGCGACGAGCGCCGUCGCCAUGGUAACGAAUGUUUCUGCCUGCUGGAUGACGACGGAGAGAGAACACGGCGUAUUGAUGACAGUGAGUUUCCUGUGACUGUGCCGGAGACGAUGGUAUGCUAAUGGCCCCCACACCUCACCAGAUGGGCUUUGUUUGUGGAUGCAGCUGCACAGGUUAGGUCAGCGGACGGCGUGUGUGUGUGUGUGUGUGUGUGUGUGUGUGUGUGUGUGUGUGUGUGUGUUCGUAUGUGUAUGAGUAGAGAGAGAGAGGGAGGGAGAAGGAUGAGAACAAAAAAAGAGAAAGACACAUUUUCUAGCUCAUUGUACCAUGUGUUUCAG